rnacentral:rRNA from 1 species
CACGAACGCUGGCGGCAGGCUUAACACAUGCAAGUCGAGCGCCCCGCAAGGGGAGUGGCAGACGGGUGAGUAACGCGUGGGAAUCUACCCAUCUCUACGGAAUAACGCAUGGAAACGUGUGCUAAUACCGUAUACGUCCUUCGGGAGAAAGAUUUAUCGGAGAUGGAUGAGCCCGCGUUGGAUUAGCUAGUUGGUGGGGUAAAGGCCUACCAAGGCGGCGAUCCAUAGCUGGUCUGAGAGGAUGAUCAGCCACACUGGGACUGAGACACGGCCCAGACUCCUACGGGAGGCAGCAGUGGGGAAUAUUGGACAAUGGGCGCAAGCCUGAUCCAGCCAUGCCGCGUGAGUGAUGAAGGCCCUAGGGUUGUAAAGCUCUUUCACCGGUGAAGAUAAUGACGGUAACCGGAGAAGAAGCCCCGGCUAACUUCGUGCCAGCCGCCGCCGUAACAC